UGCAACCGGGUCAUUAGCGGGGCCUUGUAACCUGCAGUCCGCUACAGCAGGGGCAUACCAAGAUCUGAGGGUCUGUUCGGGUGGAGCUGCCCUUCUUAAGUGGUGAUGACGUCCGGGUCUCGCGCAACAGAAACCAUCGAACCGUGUCAGGGUGGGAACACAGCAGCACUAAGGUGGACCUUUUGUGUGACGCGAGGGUGCCUGGGCCGAGCUAACUGGGGAGGUUACGUCUGUUGGGACCGAUUCGAUGUGAGGCGCACGG
rnacentral:SRP_RNA from 1 species